rnacentral:rRNA from 1 species
GACGAACGCUGGCGGCGUGCCUAAUACAUGCAAGUCGAGCGAAUCAUUAGGAGCUUGCUCCUAAUGAUUAGCGGCGGACGGGUGAGUAACACGUGGGCAACCUGCCCCAAAGACUGGGAUAACUAGCGGAAACGCUAGCUAAUACCGGAUAUAUUCUUUUCCCACAUGGGAGAAGAAGGAAAGAUGGCCUCGGCUAUCACUUAGGGAUGGGCCCGCGGCGCAUUAGCUAGUUGGUGAGGUAAUGGCUCACCAAGGCAACGAUGCGUAGCCGACCUGAGAGGGUGAUCGGCCACACUGGGACUGAGACACGGCCCAGACUCCUACGGGAGGCUG